GACGAACGCUGGCGGCGUGCCUAAUACAUGCAAGUCGAACGCUUUUUCUUUCACCGGAGCUUGCUCCACCGAAAGAAAAAGAGUGGCGAACGGGUGAGUAACACGUGGGUAACCUGCCCAUCAGAAGGGGAUAACACUUGGAAACAGGUGCUAAUACCGUAUAACACUAUUUUCCGCAUGGAAGAAAGUUGAAAGGCGCUUUUGCGUCAAUGAUGGAUGGACCCGCGGUGCAUUAGCUAGUUGGUGAGGUAACGGCUCACCGAGGCAACGAUGCAUAGCCGACCCGAGAGGGUGAUCGGCCACACUGGGACUGAGACACGGCCCAGACUCCUACGGGAGGCAGCAGUAGGGAAUCUUCGGCAAUGGACGAAAGUCUGACCGAGCAACGCCGCGUGAGUGAAGAAGGUUUUCGGAUCGUAAAACUCUGUUGUUAGAGAAGAACAAGGAUGAGAGUAGAACGUUCAUCCCUUGACGGUAUCUAACCAGAAAGCCACGGCUAACUACGUGCCAGCAGCCGCCGUAA
rnacentral:rRNA from 1 species